rnacentral:lncRNA from 10 species
AUCACCACCAACCACAUCACCCACCAUCACCCCCAACCACAUCAUCACCAACCACACCCACCACUAUCACCACCAACCACAUCACCACCAACCACAUCACCCACCACUAUCACCACCAACCACAUCGCCACCAACCACAUCACCCACCAUCACCACCAACCACAUCACCACCAACCACAUAACCACCAACCACAUCACCCACCACUAUCACCCCCAACCACAUCACCCACCACUAUCACCCCCAACCACAUCACCACCAACCACAUCACCCACCAACCACAUCACACCAACCACAUCACCCACCACUAUCACCCCCAACCACAUCACCCACCAACCACAUCACACCAACCACAUCACCCACCACUAUCACCCCCAACCACAUCACCACCAACCACAUCACCCACCACUAUCACCACCAACCACAACACCCACCAUCACCCCCAACCACAUCACCCACCACUAUCACCCCCAACCACAUCACCCACCACUAUCACCACCAACCACAUCACCCACCAACCACAUCACCACCAACCACAUCACCCACCACUAUCACCCCCAACCACAUCAUCACCAACCACAUCACCCAUCACUAUCACCACCAACCACAUCACACCAACCACAUCAUGCCAACCACAUCACCCACCACUAUCAGCACCAACCACAUCACACCAACCACAUCACCACCAACCACAUUACUACCACAUCACCUACCAUCAUCAUCACCACCAACCACAUCACCUGUCACCAACCACAUCAUCAUCACCAACCAUAUCACCCAGCACUAUCACCACAAACCACAUCACCCACCACCACCAACCACAUCAACACCACCCCAACUACAUCACCAUCACCACCACCACACAACACCAACCACAUUAUCAUCACCAACCACAUCACCUCCACCACCAUGCCCCCAACCACAUCACCACUACCAUUACCACCAACCACAUCAUCCACCACCAUUACCAACCACAUUCAACAACAACCACACCACCACCACCAUCACCAACCACAACAACCAUAUCAUCAUCAAUCACC